rnacentral:rRNA from 1 species
AGUCUGCGGCGGAUCAGGUAGACGUUUGGGUUAACUGCCCCACGUGCCUACGACCCGUACCGGCCAUGAAAGUGGGAGCCGGGAGACGAGCACUGAGACACGGGCUCGAGCCCUACGGGGUGCAGCAGGCGCGAAACCUUCCCAAUGCGCGAAAGCGCGAGGAGGGAAUCCCAAGUGCCAGUGCAAUGCAUUGGCUUUUGUAAUGUGUAAAAAGCAUUACGAAUAAGGGCUGGGUAAGACCAGUGCCAGCCUCCGCGGUAAAACCGGCAGCUCAAGUGGUGGUCUUUUAUUCGGCUUAAAGUGUCCGUAGUCGGUCAGAAAAGUUUUCUGUGAAAUCCACAUGCUUAACAUGCGGGCUUGCAGGGAAUACUUUCUGGCUAGAAACCAGGAGAGGUUAGGGGUAUUCCCGGGGUAAGGGUGAAAUCUGUUGAUCCUGGGAGGACCAUCAGUGACGAAGGUGCCUAACUAGAAUGGGUUUGACGACGAGGGACGAAAGCUAGGGGAGCAAACGGGAUUAGAUACCCCGGUAGUCCUAGCUGUAAACGAUGCGGACUGAGCGUUACUGGGACCAUGAGUCCCAGUAGUGUUGGAGGGAAACCGUUAAGUCCGUCGUCUGGGGAGUAUGGUCGCAAGGCUGAAACUUAAAGGAAUUGGCGGGGGAACACCACAAGGGGUGGAGUCUGCGGUUCAAUUGGAUACAACGCCGGGAAACUUACCAGGGACGACAGCAGAAUGAAAGCCAGACUGAAGAUCUUGCUGGACACGCUGAGAGGUAGUGCAUGGCCAUCGUCAGCUCGUACCGUAAGGCGUUCGGUUAAGUCCGUUAACGAGCAAGACCCGUGCCCUUAUUUGCCAUCUUAUCCCUUAGGGAGAAGAGCACUAUAAGGGGACCGCUGGCGAUAAGCCAGAGGAAGGUGCGGGCAACGGUAGGUCAGCAUGCUCCGAAUUUCCUGGGCUACACGUGGACUACAAUGGUAUGGACAAUGGGUUGCGACACCGUAAGGUGAAGCUAAUCUUCAAACCAUAUCUUAGUUCGGAUUGAGGGUUGUAACUCACCCUCAUGAAGGUGAAAUCCCUAGUAAUCGCUGGUUACUAUCUAGCGGUGAAUAUGUCCCCGUUCCUUGCACACACCGCCCGUCAAGCCAACCGAGUGGGCUAAGAGCGAGGCUUUAUCAUUUGGGAGAGACAAGUUCUUC